CCUGGUACAAACCAAAGACAAAAAAAAGGGAAUAUGCUAAAAUUACCUUCCAUCGCUAAUUUGGCUCAUUAUGGCACAGUGUGGCUGAGGCACCUCGACACCAGCAGGACGGACACCCAAACAGGGACCGUCGGUACCCCGCUAAAGCUCAAGGUAAGUAGAGGAUCACGUGCUAAACGCAGGUGACGGUCCGGUUGUUUUCGUAAGAGAACAGAGCCGAGGCACAUGGAGGAAAGUGGGAGCUUUUCGUCAAGCGGCGCAGACCCGUUAACUUUUAUGACAUAAUUCCGAACACCUCGGGUUCCUUUUAAUUACCCAGAUGUAUGCUUUUUAAGGGCAGGCUUAACCGGGGCAACAUUUUCCCUCCUAAUCGUCUUUUGUAGAGUAACUUCAAACGCACCUGCACUGUAAAAUAAUGUACUCUUUUUAGUCGUUUUGUUCCGUCUUAUCUUGAUACAAAACUUUUUAAAAAAAAUUUAUUUAAAGGCUAUAUCAUUUUUUGUCAUCGACGAUGGCUCUUAUCUUUUUCUCUCUCUGGUUCAGGAUGUUCAUCCGCCAGGUGAUUCCAAUUAGCAUUUCGCCCAAGAGGACAAGCUUGAGGAGGCACCGUGUCUUGCUGUGCCUUCAUCCAAGUGUAAAAUUAGGUUGUUAUGAAGCACAAUCUAGCAACAAAAUGUCAAGGACUUUACCACAUAGGGUGGUGUAUGGGCUGUAAGGCAUAGGUAUUUCCUCGCUUCAGUCCAGCUGAUUUCAAUUGAUGACUGAUUAUCAGGCGUUUGUUGAACUGCAAUCAGUUGAAUCAGGAACAUUAAAGCAGGGAAACCUCUAAAACUUGUAGGACAGUGUGCCUGGAGGACCAGGGUUGGGAAACACUGAUCUAAAACACCUGAGUGGCGCUCUCACGUCAGGUCAUCGUUUUUGAUUUAAUCAAGCAUUUCUUGCUUCAAUUUAGAUUUAACUAUUCUCCUUUUGAGGUUUUUUUAAUGAGACUUGAUGUGCAACUAACUGACCAAAGUUGACAAAAUGGAAACCCUUAGUCGCAGGAGAUGAGGUCUUCUUGUGACCGUGUGUUGUAAGAAUGUAAAAAAUACAUCAGUAGUUGCGUUUCCCAUUAACCAUUAAAUUGUGCAACUUGAAAUUACGAAGAUAAAUUUCCUUCCUGGAAGCAUGCCAAUUUUGGGAAAGAUAAAACUCGUGGUUGUUAAGUUGUUGCAUUAGGAUCAGGUGGUUUUUCAGCCAUGACUAUUGGCAUUGCAUGAGUCACGUGGUCAACAGCCAGACGUUACUACUGGCGAAAACCACGAAGAAGACUACAGUGGUUUUAUAGUUUCUUUUUGUUUUUGGGGGGGCUGUCUCCACCUUAGCUCUCACAGAACCCCACCAUUCAUAAAAAGUUGUCUGUCAUUCAAACAUGUUGAAUCCAUAGCUCUUCUGUAAAAUCGCUGACUACAAAACGCAGCAUACGCUCUCAAGUACAGCCGGUUUGUCGCUCCGACAGUUGAGUAAGACGCCGACGUCUCCUCUCAUGGCCGAUAGAUGAAUAUAGUUCAUGUAGGUGUUUACAUCCGUCACUGCCAAUGGUUUUUAAUGACUUCUCCUGUGAACUUUGACCAACUUUUUCUUCCCUGCCAUAGCAUAAUACUGCCCUACUGUGCUUUAUAAAAGGUGCAAUUUUCAUAAUUCAACAGUAAAAUCAAACCUAAGCUCAUAAAACACAUUGUAGCUUGUGGCUGUGAGGUGAUUAAAAUCAGAUAAAGGUUUGAGCGGUGAUGCAGAGCAGUGUGUUUGGGUUUGUUGUGAUGCUUCAUAACAUCAUUCUACAGUAAAACUAAACUCCUCUUGGGUAAAAUGUCCCCAACACCUCCAGCCGCCUCCUUUGCCCUGCAGCCCCUACCACCUUCCAUAAAACCUGCCACACAUCUGCUGCACAGUCAGGAGCCUGCUCCGGUCUGUAGACCCACCAGAUGGGGAUUUAAAUACGAGAUCCAACGAAGCUUUACGCAAUGGCAAAACAGAGUUAGCUCAGCAAUGAUGACGGCAAGGUA